rnacentral:rRNA from 1 species
UACGUAGGGGGCAAGCGUUGUCCGGAUUUAUUGGGCGUAAAGAGCGUGUAGGCGGCCUGACAGGUCAGCUGUGAAAACUCGAGGCUCAACCUCGAGACGUCGGUUGAAACCAUCUGGCUAGAGUCCGGAAGAGGAGUGUGGAAUUCCCGGUGUAGCAGUGAAAUGCGCAGAUAUCGGGAAGAACACCCGUGGCGAAGGCGGCACUCUGGGACGGUACUGACGCUGAGACGCGAAAGCGUGGGGAGCGAACAGG